GAUAAAUGCAUGAAUUAAUUAUAUACAUAAAUGCAUAUGUAAUUAUAUACAGAAAUAUAUACAUAAUUCUAUAUGUUUUUUAGGAACACAACAUGGUGGCCAUGAAGGAUGAAUUGAACUGGGGAGAAAUUAGAGGCAGGAAGACCCGACUGUACAAUAGUUUCAGUGCGACAUGGUGUGGAAACGGCUUCCGAGUUACUGCAUUGCCCAAGUUACUUCAGGUCACUGGAUGUGUCUGUGUCACCCGGGACGGUGUGCUCCCUCCAUCUGUGACCUUUCGGUUUCCUCUUUAGAAAGAAGGAAACAAAAACCCUGGCAUCAGAAGCGUGUUGUGAAGUCAAGAAAUGAGGGGAAAGAACAAAAAACUCUUCCUUAUGGCAACAUGGGACUAGGAAAUGGCCAUAGAUGCAGGUGAGCAUCCUGAUCCGAAGCUUAAACCAGUGAGUGAAAGUUUGAGGCGAAACAGAAUAUCUACAUGGUCUCCACACAAAUUCCUUUUAGUUCUAAAGGAACAGUAAUUUUGCUGCAAAGAAAACUGGCAGAUGCCACUUUAACCCAGUAACAAAAGUGAAGCUCGUCAGUAUUGGAACAAAUGAAUCAUGUGUCGUUUGGAAAUGAUACUCUAAGAAGGACAUAGCACUGCCAUAUUUGGGGCCAAAAAGAAAAAAGGAAAAAAAAGCAUAGCUGGAAGCUAAUCUGAAUUUGACUGUGAGGACACCAGAGACAAGCCCAAAUGGAGGGCACUUAAAAAUAAAUGGUCUGAACUCUGCAAAAACGUUAAGCUUUAGGAAACUCUGUUCCAGAUUAAAGAGACCCAAGAGAUGAAACAACUAAAUACAACAGAUGAUUCUGAAUUGGGUCCUGGGCCUUAUUGUUUACCAUUAUUAUUUGCGCUAUAGAACAUUAGUGGGACAGUUGGUAAAAUCUGAAUAAGGUCCAAGAUUAGAUAAUAGUGUAACAGUAUUAUUUCCCUAGUUGCUUAAGAGACUGUCUCUGUAAUGAGGAAAAUAAAGUACGGGUUUCCCCUGCUAUCUGAAAGCACCGCAGUCCCAAGAAAGCGUUCAUAAACUGCAACAGCAUAAAGGCAAGAAGGUACCUUAGGUCCAUGAAAUAAACCAGAUAAAGCACAGAUGCACCACAGAUGUGGUUCACAGCUCGAGCUGGAUGCUGAGAUUCGGAGGUGCUGAGAUGUGGAGAUGCUGAGAUGCUGAGUGGUUCCAGGAAAGAAGUUGGCCGGGCCCAUCUUGCUGCCUCUACAACCAUUCGUGCAAAACACACGCUGAAUGCAACUUCCCACUUUUCGCCUUUUUCUGUAAAAGUGAAAAAUUAUCCUAGGAUUUAUCUCUGUUAGCGAAAGCAGGUACUCAUAUAGGUUUUUUCUAAAAGCAAAGUGGCUUAAAGCAAACUUACAAAAAGUGCAGGAUGCCUGUAUUUAGGGGGAAAGGGGCAGGAUGACAGCAACUUGCCCUCCCGAAGUUCAGGACAAAAUAAACAGGAGUACAAGAUGAUAAAGCAAACUCAGCCCAGUGUCAGUGUUUGGGGAAUCUGGUGGGGGGGGUAGGUAUUGGUUAUCCAAUUUUCUCUAAUUAUUUCAAAAUAAAAGGCAGGAGUUCCCCUGUGGCACAGUGGGUUAAGGAUCCCGUGUGGUCACUGCAGCAGCUCAGGUCUCUGCUGCGGUUUGGGUUCAAUCCCUCGCCCAGGAAAUUCCCCAUGCCACAGGCCCUGCCAAAAAACAAACAAACUAAAAAAAUAUUUUUUAAAAACCCAUAAGCUGAUAAUUAUAAAGGGCUUAGAAUGCAGCCUUAAAACAUCAGUGUUAAAUAUUACUGUUUACCAUUUAGAAGUGGCAAGGCCACCUGUAGAUGGCUUUCAAUCCCAUCAGACCUUCAUUUCCUCAGAGAUGAGGGAGGAGAAGCAUUUCCAUCAACUGUGAAGUGCAGUGCCCCUGUGGAUGCCUGGGAGCUUGUGACGUGUACUCGGGUUCUGGAAGGUGACUGUGAAAGGGGGUUUAGUCUGCAUUGCGGACAAGGCCACUGAGGCACAGAAAAGAAUCAGCUUCACAAAGGUGACAGGGUUGGAGGAAAACCCAGACCUCCCUGCCCCAGGUCUGAGUCCUGUCCCAUCAGGUCAUGGACUCCAAGGCAAAGUUUAGAAAAGGGGGAUUUCUUUCACAGCCUGACUUGUUUUCACCUGCUCAGUCCUGCAGGUGUGGCUGUGACCCCUGAUCCUGCCUGAGGC
rnacentral:lncRNA from 9 species